GGGGUUGUAGCUCAGUGGUAGAGCACUCACCUAGCAUGUGUGAGGCACUGGGUUUGAUCCUCAAUACCCCA
rnacentral:tRNA from 1 species